rnacentral:tRNA from 1 species
UAUAUUUUAGUAUAUGAUGUACAGGAAUUUUUGAUGUUUCAGGUAAUAGUUUGAUUCUAUUAAAUAUAA